GCCCUUGUGGAUGAAUUGGCACAUCACCCGUUAAUUGUCAUAGACAAACAAAAUCCUAUAAAUGGGAGGCGGAGGCUUGAAUCCUCCUGGGGGCA